rnacentral:rRNA from 1 species
GCGAAUCGCCCUUCGGGGUGCAGCAGGCGCGAAAACUUUACAAUGCUGGCAACAGCGAUAAGGGGACCUCGAGUGCCAGGAUACAAUCUUGGCUGUCGCGAUGCCUAAAAAGCAUUGCAUAGCAAGGGCCGGGCAAGACCGGUGCCAGCCGCCGCGGUAACACCGGCGGCUCGAGUGGUAACCGCUAUUAUUGGGUCUAAAGGGUCUGUAGCCGGCCGGAUAAGUCUUUUGGGAAAUCCAGCUGCUCAACAGUUGGGCUUUCAGAAGAUACUGUUCGGCUCGAGACCGGGAGAGGUGAGAGGUACUUCAGGGGUAUGGGUGAAAUCUUGUAAUCCUUGAAGGACCACCAGUGGCGAAGGCGUCUCACCAGAACGGAUCUGACGGCAAGGGACGAAAGCUAGGGGCACGAACCGGAUUAGAUACCCGGGUAGUCCUAGCCGUAAACGAUACUCGCUAGGUGUCAGCCACGGUGCGACCGUGGUUGGUGCCGUAGGGAAGCCGUGAAGCGAGCCACCUGGGAAGUACGGCCGCAAGGCUGAAACUUAAAGGAAUUGGCGGGGGAGCAC